rnacentral:rRNA from 1 species
GGGUUGUGAGGUUAAGCGACUAAGCGUACACGGUGGAUGCCCUGGCAGUCAGAGGCGAUGAAGGACGUGCUAAUCUGCGAUAAGCGUCGGUAAGGUGAUAUGAACCGUUAUAACCGGCGAUUUCCGAAUGGGGAAACCCAGUGUGUUUCGACACACUAUCAUUAACUGAAUCCAUAGGUUAAUGAGGCGAACCGGGGGAACUGAAACAUCUAAGUACCCCGAGGAAAAGAAAUCAACCGAGAUUCCCCCAGUAGCGGCGAGCGAACGGGGAGGAGCCCAGAGCCUGAAUCAGUGUGUGUGUUAGUGGAAGCGUCUGGAAAGGCGCGCGAUACAGGGUGACAGCCCCGUACACAAAAAUGCACAUGCUGUGAGCUCGAUGAGUAGGGCGGGACACGUGGUAUCCUGUCUGAAUAUGGGGGGACCAUCCUCCAAGGCUAAAUACUCCUGACUGACCGAUAGUGAACCAGUACCGUGAGGGAAAGGCGAAAAGAACCCCGGCGAGGGGAGUGAAAAAGAACCUGAAACCGUGUACGUACAAGCAGUGGGAGCACGCUUAGGCGUGUGACUGCGUACCUUUUGUAUAAUGGGUCAGCGACUUAUAUUCUGUAGCAAGGUUAACCGAAUAGGGGAGCCGAAGGGAAACCGAGUCUUAACUGGGCGUUAAGUUGCAGGGUAUAGACCCGAAACCCGGUGAUCUAGCCAUGGGCAGGUUGAAGGUUGGGUAACACUAACUGGAGGACCGAACCGACUAAUGUUGAAAAAUUAGCGGAUGACUUGUGGCUGGGGGUGAAAGGCCAAUCAAACCGGGAGAUAGCUGGUUCUCCCCGAAAGCUAUUUAGGUAGCGCCUCGUGAAUUCAUCUCCGGGGGUAGAGCACUGUUUCGGCAAGGGGGUCAUCCCGACUUACCAACCCGAUGCAAACUGCGAAUACCGGAGAAUGUUAUCACGGGAGACACACGGCGGGUGCUAACGUCCGUCGUGAAGAGGGAAACAACCCAGACCGCCAGCUAAGGUCCCAAAGUCAUGGUUAAGUGGGAAACGAUGUGGGAAGGCCCAGACAGCCAGGAUGUUGGCUUAGAAGCAGCCAUCAUUUAAAGAAAGCGUAAUAGCUCACUGGUCGAGUCGGCCUGCGCGGAAGAUGUAACGGGGCUAAACCAUGCACCGAAGCUGCGGCAGCGACGCUGAUGCGUUGUUGGGUAGGGGAGCGUUCUGUAAGCCUGUGAAGGUGUGCUGUGAGGCAUGCUGGAGGUAUCAGAAGUGCGAAUGCUGACAUAAGUAACGAUAAAGCGGGUGAAAAGCCCGCUCGCCGGAAGACCAAGGGUUCCUGUCCAACGUUAAUCGGGGCAGGGUGAGUCGACCCCUAAGGCGAGGCCGAAAGGCGUAGUCGAUGGGAAACAGGUUAAUAUUCCUGUACUUGGUGUUACUGCGAAGGGGGGACGGAGAAGGCUAUGUUGGCCGGGCGACGGUUGUCCCGGUUUAAGCGUGUAGGCUGGUUUUCCAGGCAAAUCCGGAAAACUAAGGCUGAGGCGUGAUGACGAGGCACUACGGUGCUGAAGCAACAAAUGCCCUGCUUCCAGGAAAAGCCUCUAAGCAUCAGGUAACAUCAAAUCGUACCCCAAACCGACACAGGUGGUCAGGUAGAGAAUACCAAGGCGCUUGAGAGAACUCGGGUGAAGGAACUAGGCAAAAUGGUGCCGUAACUUCGGGAGAAGGCACGCUGAUAUGUAGGUGAAGUCCCUCGCGGAUGGAGCUGAAAUCAGUCGAAGAUACCAGCUGGCUGCAACUGUUUAUUAAAAACACAGCACUGUGCAAACACGAAAGUGGACGUAUACGGUGUGACGCCUGCCCGGUGCCGGAAGGUUAAUUGAUGGGGUCAGCGCAAGCGAAGCUCUUGAUCGAAGCCCCGGUAAACGGCGGCCGUAACUAUAACGGUCCUAAGGUAGCGAAAUUCCUUGUCGGGUAAGUUCCGACCUGCACGAAUGGCGUAAUGAUGGCCAGGCUGUCUCCACCCGAGACUCAGUGAAAUUGAACUCGCUGUGAAGAUGCAGUGUACCCGCGGCAAGACGGAAAGACCCCGUGAACCUUUACUAUAGCUUGACACUGAACAUUGAGCCUUGAUGUGUAGGAUAGGUGGGAGGCUUUGAAGUGUGGACGCCAGUCUGCAUGGAGCCGACCUUGAAAUACCACCCUUUAAUGUUUGAUGUUCUAACGUUGACCCGUAAUCCGGGUUGCGGACAGUGUCUGGUGGGUAGUUUGACUGGGGCGGUCUCCUCCUAAAGAGUAACGGAGGAGCACGAAGGUUGGCUAAUCCUGGUCGGACAUCAGGAGGUUAGUGCAAUGGCAUAAGCCAGCUUGACUGCGAGCGUGACGGCGCGAGCAGGUGCGAAAGCAGGUCAUAGUGAUCCGGUGGUUCUGAAUGGAAGGGCCAUCGCUCAACGGAUAAAAGGUACUCCGGGGAUAACAGGCUGAUACCGCCCAAGAGUUCAUAUCGACGGCGGUGUUUGGCACCUCGAUGUCGGCUCAUCACAUCCUGGGGCUGAAGUAGGUCCCAAGGGUAUGGCUGUUCGCCAUUUAAAGUGGUACGCGAGCUGGGUUUAGAACGUCGUGAGACAGUUCGGUCCCUAUCUGCCGUGGGCGCUGGAGAACUGAGGGGGGCUGCUCCUAGUACGAGAGGACCGGAGUGGACGCAUCACUGGUGUUCGGGUUGUCAUGCCAAUGGCACUGCCCGGUAGCUAAAUGCGGAAGAGAUAAGUGCUGAAAGCAUCUAAGCACGAAACUUGCCCCGAGAUGAGUUCUCCCUGACCCUUUAAGGGUCCUGAAGGAACGUUGAAGACGACGACGUUGAUAGGCCGGGUGUGUAAGCGCAGCGA